rnacentral:rRNA from 1 species
GACGAACGCUGGCGGCGUGCUUAACACAUGCAAGUCGAACGGAAAGGCCCCUUUGGGGGUACUCGAGUGGCGAACGGGUGAGUAACACGUGAGUAACCUGCCCUUGACUUCGGGAUAACUUCAGGAAACUGGGGCUAAUACCGGAUAGGAAUCCUUGCUGCAUGGUGGGGGUUGGAAAGCUUCGGCGGUUUUGGAUGGACUCGCGGCUUAUCAGCUUGUUGGUGGGGUAGUGGCUUACCAAGGCUUUGACGGGUAGCCGGCCUGAGAGGGCGACCGGCCACAUUGGGACUGAGAUGCGGCCCAGACUCCUACGGGAGGCAGCAGUGGGGAAUCUUGCACAAUGGGCGGAAGCCUGAUGCAGCAACGCCGCGUGCGGGAUGACGGCCUUCGGGUUGUAAACCGCUUUCAGCAGGGGCGAAGCUUGUGGUGACGGUACCUGCAGAAGAAGCACCGGCUAACUACGUG